UACGUAGGGGGCUAGCGUUGUCCGGAAUCAUUGGGCGUAAAGCGCGCGUAGGCGGCCCGGUAAGUCCGCUGUGAAAGUCAAAGGCUCAACCUUUGAAUGUCAGCGGAUACUGCAGGGCUAGAGUCCGGAAGAGGCGAGUGGAACUCCUGGUGUAGCGGUGGAAUGCGCAGAUAUCAGGAGGAACACCGGUGGCGAAGGCGGGUCUCUGGGCCGAAAUUGACGCUGAGGAGCGAAAGCGUGGGGAGCGAACAGG
rnacentral:rRNA from 1 species